rnacentral:rRNA from 1 species
UACGUAGGUGGCAAGCGUUAUCCGGACUUACUGGGUGUAAAGGGCGUGUAGGCGGGACUGCAAGUCAGAUGUGAAAAUUAUGGGCUCAACCCAUAACCUGCAUUUGAAACUGUAGUUCUUUGAGUGAUGGAGAGGCAGGCGGAAUUCCGUGUGUAGCGGUGAAAUGCGUAGAUAUACGGAGGAACACCAGUGGCGAAGGCGGCCUGCUGGACAUUAACUGACGCUGAGGCGCGAAAGCGUGGGGAGCAAACAGG